AGUGAACGCUGGCGGUAGGCCUAACACAUGCAAGUCGAACGGCAGCACAGUAAGAGCUUGCUCUUACGGGUGGCGAGUGGCGGACGGGUGAGGAAUACAUCGGAAUCUACUUUUUCGUGGGGGAUAACGUAGGGAAACUUACGCUAAUACCGCAUACGACCUACGGGUGAAAGCAGGGGAUCUUCGGACCUUGCGCGAUUGAAUGAGCCGAUGUCGGAUUAGCUAGUUGGCGGGGUAAAGGCCCACCAAGGCGACGAUCCGUAGCUGGUCUGAGAGGAUGAUCAGCCACACUGGAACGGAGACACGGUCCAGACUCCUACGGGAGGCAGCAGUGGGGAAUAUUGGACAAUGGGCGCAAGCCUGAUCCAGCCAUACCGCGUGGGUGAAGAAGGCCUUCGGGUUGUAAAGCCCUUUUGUUGGGAAAGAAAAGCAUCAGGUUAAUACCCCGCUGUUCUGACGGUACCCAAAGAAUAAGCACCGGCUAACUUCGUG
rnacentral:rRNA from 1 species